UGGACAGGUGCAAAAAUAAAAUCCUCUUUUGCAACCCAGAACUCAUUGCUCACUAUGAGUUUUGAUUCAUAUAAGAAGGAAUAUU
rnacentral:snoRNA from 1 species